UCUGGUCAUAUUGAGAAGUAGUAGUCGUCUUCACGGUUUCCGUAGGUGAACCUGCGGAAGGAUCAUUA
rnacentral:rRNA from 1 species